AUGCUGGAUCUCGCAAAGGCAGCCGAGCAUGGAAACGUUACAGCCUUGAUCGACCAAGUCGGAUAUUCAAAGGUUCUCGCUUUGGUGGAACAUAUCACGGCACCGGCUGAGACUCACACUUUCCUGCAGUAUCUAGCCUCACAUAUGGCCAAAGAGCUCGGACACCACCACCAUAAUGGUCCUAUUGCAGGGUAAUGUCAUGA